AGCCGAGGAGAAAAGUGACGCAACAUCUCUUCCGGAGCACGUAUUGUGGAAGGCUGCUCGGGUUGGGAAGGAUGGGGCUGUCGUUGAAGCGGUUCAAAAUGUUUAUGACGAAUGUGAGACUUUAUCCCAAACCUUACCUUCAACCGAGGUCCAGGAUUGCAGGAGCCUACUUAGUCGAGUACUAAAUGUUCCUGAGUAUUCCGGUCGUGUGAGGGGUAAGAGUUUUGGUGUGACUCCGUCGUCAUUUUAUAGAAAAUCAAAAACAAAAAAUCCUACCAACAAAGAGGUGAUGGAGACCUUGGCGGAGUUAAGGGCACAAGUACUCGAACUGUAAAAGGAGAAUGCAAGGUAUAGAGAGGAAAGACGCGGUUCCGAGGCAAAAGAUACUAGUGACCGAGCUAGUAUCAAUUGUCAACCGAAAUUUCCCGAGGGCAUUACACCUUGUCAGCUGUAUCUAUCGUCACCAACUUAUCGCAUAGUUGGCAAGGGAAAAGUGCACAACACUUCGGGUGAAUUACUUCACCAUAAUCCCCUCCCGGUGGGAUAUAUGAAAGUUUCGGUUGACCUUGUAUUAGA